CGAUCACCCACUGUAUAUUUAGGACCUCUACGUUACAGGAGAGGGAGAACGAUUAAAAUAUUUGACUGUACGGGAAGUUCAUCGAAAUCCAUAAAUUAUUUUCAGCCAAUAUACCGUUAGAAACUAAAAUGAAGAUGCUGAAUUUCAUGAAACGAUACGGGAAAACUCCAUUUGGAGUAAACGUGGGAGGAUUCUUUUAUGUUAAGAAGAACUUUUUCAUUCGAGCUCUGAGUGCCAUAUAUUCAUCGUUGUCUGUCUUUGUGGAACUUUUAGUAGCCAAAAAACCACCUUCGUGCGAUAUUAAGAUGAAAGAUUUAAUACAAUGAAGUUGUAUUGCAUCGUUGGACAAUCUUUGGAUAUAAGCAGACUUAUUACAGAACAAGACUGGUCAAGCCUAUCUGAUAGCACGCUUCACAAAAUCG
rnacentral:misc_RNA from 1 species